AAACAGAAACCGGUCAUCAGGGGAAAGACACCGGCUUGCCUGAGGCCGCAAGCAGCACCAAUGACAGCCUUUGUGCUGGGCAGGUGGCUGGCAGCACUCCCCAGACCUGAUGCUGAAACUGAUGCUCCAGUACUUUGGCCACCUGAUGCGAACAGCUGACUCACUGGAAAAGACCCUGAUGUUGGGAAAAACUGAAGGCAGAAGGAGAGGAAGACGACAGAGGAUGAGAUGGUUGCAUGGCAUCACCAAUUCAACAAACACGAACUUGGGCACACUCCAGGAGAUGAGCACGGGCUUCAAAAGUUGCAGCACGAAGGCUUAGUAGUUGCGGCACACGGGCUUAGCUGCUCUGCAGCAUAUGAGAUCUUCCCGGACCAGGGACAGAACCCAUGUCC